CUGUAGUUAGGAGUCUAGGUCAGCUGGAGAAACCCCCCCAGGGGCUGAGUGUCUGCACAAGCUGAUUUUAAAGGGGCCAGCAGCUUCUUCGCUUCUAUGGAUGCUAAAGGAGCGUACCAGCAGCUAGAGUGACUGGUGAGAGAUGCUGGGACAAAGAAUGACGCUGACCCAUGAGCUUGCUGAGUGCCCUGACAAUGAUGACAGGGAAGCUUUAUUGGACAUAUUGGACCUACUUUUGCUUGUCUCUAUCCCAGACUGGACAAGCUGUCUUGCUUCAAACUUUUAGACCUUGUGGGACAGAGAACAUGGAGACUGUGGAAACUGCCUUCAGAACAUUAAUCAAAUAAGAGAAGUUAUAAUGACCCUUCUUUUUCCUUUAAUGUGACCAGUUAUCCUGACUCAAUCAUGGACUGGUCUGGAAAUCAAUCCAAUAUUGGAAAAAAGGAAAUGAUGGUCUUCAUUUGGAAGACUGGUUCUGGACAUUUUCAGAGACAUUUAAAAAUUCACAAUUGUCUUGUAUGAAGUUACAUUUGCAGUGGAUAAAAUUGAUAUAGGAUCUGAAUUGCUGAACAAAUGUUAGUGCAUGUAUUAAAACUAAUCUUUUAUUACUUGGUCAUGUUAAAAUUAUUUUUGUUUCUUCAACAAUAUUUAAUGUAAGUUGUGUUGAUUGUACACUUUCUAAUUGUAUUAAUGUGUUGAAAUCUGACAUGUCUGUUAUGAUGGUCUAUUAAUCAGCUUUUGUUUUAUUGCUUCUGAGUAUUACAGGUCCCUGGUAUUCUGAUAAAGGCUUGCAAAUAUUGGGAGAAGUGAGUCAGGCUUUAAGCAGAAGCAAUACUAUAGUGGGCUUGAUCAUUGCUGGUAUAAUGGUAUAGCUGUUUAAUUAAUAACACUAUUGCUUUGACACAAGAAGAGAGUUACUUUUGUUAAUCAUUUAGCAAAAAAUGUUACUAAUGUUUUAAAUAUUCAAGAGCAUUUAGAUAGGCAUUUGGAACAAUAGAUCGGUGCUCUUUAUGAUACUAUUCAAAUUUUUGGAGAGGACUUCAGAGUUUAAGAGUAGAAGCCAUCUUGAGUAUCAUGGUAAAUAUCAAGGGAUUUGUGUUAUUUCUAAACUUUACAAUGAUAGUCACUAUAAUUGAGACUUGCAAGGUAUUUGGCAUAAUUCUAACACCUCUCUGGAUGUUUUAACUUUGCAUACUGAGAAUAUAAAUUUAAAGAAUGCUGUCCUGCUUAGCUUUGCUGCUUAUAUUGCUGGCAAAAUUAUUCAUGGCCUGAAGUCAGUAUUUCCAUCCUGGUUUAGGUUCAAGAAUGGCCUAAAUAGCUUGAUCAUGCUAGCCCUUUUUGUCCUGGGAAUACUUUAUUCCUGCCCAUUGUGAUAAAGCUUGCCUUUAACAACAGCAACAUGCUGGCCACCAAAAUACAUGGCUUGAAACUAUGAAUGGACCCCAUACAGUGUUAUUAACUUAAGAGGUUGGCAAGCCAAGGACAGGUAAGAUUUUACACACAACCUUACUAACCUAAGACACAAUAGCAUUGCUUUUGAUAAUGCAUAGUCCAUGACGGGUAAGAAAGGGAUUCUUGACAGAAAGACCUAAAACAGGCUCAGUCUUGUUUAUGAAAUAAAUAAGGGGAAGAUGUAGAGAGCCUUUUGGGGCCACUUGCUUCUAGACCCUUGGCAGGAAUCUGACACUAUCAGGACAAAAGAAAGAAGCCCAGGGCAGGAAACCAGUUUUGGGCUUGGGAUCAGGAAAUGGGCCUUGGUUAAGAACAUUAACAUCUGAGUUAAUGCAAAGCUCAGAGCAGUCUCAGCAGAAGCAUGUGUGGCAGUCCUUUUGUCUUGGUCAUCCUGACCAGUCUAGAAAGGUGUUCACAGGAUUUUGAUUAUCACCUUGCUUGUUCCUCUAUUCAGAACUGAUCUUAUCUUUCUGUAUGUAGUUAAAGUAGCAUAAAAGCAGACUGGAAAAUAAAGCACUGGCUUCAGCCUCAGAACUGACUGGAGUCAUGUUAAAAAAAUAAAAGGUUUUCAUUGUAGUCGGUUUCCAUAUGACCCCUCCCUCAUGGUGUGUAUCCCUCCCUUAUCCCCUUUUCAUCCCUCUUUUGUUCAAACCUCCUGUCUUGCCCUAAUCGCUCCAUAUUCAUUGGUUCCUUUCCUCCCACCUAGUUCCUUAUGCUGUAUCUAACCCCUGUGGAUUGUAGCAUGCCUAUUGAAUGCUUAAAACCUAGCUUCUACACAAAAGAAAAUGCACACCACAUUCACUUCUGUGUGUCUGUGUUACAUUAUUCUG
ensembl:lncRNA